UAAGGAAUCUUCGGCAAUGGACGAAAGUCUGACCGAGCAACGCCGCGUGAGUAAAGAAGGUUUUCGGAUCGUAAAACUCUGUUGGUAGAGAAGAACGUUGGUGAGAGUGGAAAGCUCAUCAAGUGACGGUAACUACCCAGAAAGGGACGGCUAACUACGUGCCCG
rnacentral:rRNA from 1 species